rnacentral:lncRNA from 1 species
GGUCAUCUGGUCGAUUUUUGAAUAAAUCUUCAUUUCAUUUCAUUUGGCCAAUUCACCCAUUUUUAGGGCAAUCUAGUCGAUUUUCUGAAUAAAUCACCAAUUUUUCCAUUCUUAGGGCGAUCUUAUCGAUUUCGAGUAAAUCAUUAAUUUCGUCCGAUUCAUUUGACCAGUUUACCCUUUUAGGGCGAUCCGGUCAAUUUUGAAUAAAUUCUCGAUUUCAUUUAAUUCAUUUGACCAAGU